UUCGUAGGUGGUCUGUUAAGUCCGGUGUUAAAGAAUGGGGCCCAACCCCAGAGGUGCAUUGGAUACUGGCAGACUCGAGUGCGUUAGAGGUUAGUGGAAUUCCCAGUGUAGCGGUGAAAUGCAUAGAUAUUGGGAAGAACACCGGUGGCGUAAGCGACUAACUGGGACGUAACUGACACUGAGGAACGAAAGCCGGGGGAGCGAAUGGGAUUAGAUACCCCAGUAGUCCCGGCUGUAAACGAUGGAUACUAGGCGUUGUGGGUAUCGACCCCCGCAGUGCCGUAGCUAACGCGAUAAGUAUCCCGCCUGAGUAGUACGGCCGCAAGGUUGAA
rnacentral:rRNA from 1 species